rnacentral:sRNA from 1 species
GCCGGGUACAGUGGCGUAUGCCUAUAAUCCCAGCAGCUUGGGAGGCUGAGACAGGAGAUCACAAGUUUAAAGCCAGCCUCAGCAAAAGCGAGCUGCUAAGCAACUCAGUGACACCCCGUUUCUA